CCUGAAACCCCACCUCUUUAAGGAAUACCUAGGAUAGGAUAAAGUAAUCCUUCUAACCCCCCCCCUUAAAAGAUUUAGAUGGACUAUUGUAAAGUGGUUGUUCCACUGGAUAUCAUAAGGUGAAUGCACCAAUUUGUAAGUCGCUCUGGAUAAGAGCGUCUGCUAAAUGACUUAAAUGUAAAAUGUAAUGUAAAAUUAAAGUGAGUCCAAAAUGACACAAUACAUUAUUUCCCAUUCAUUUCUAUUGGGCACAAAAUAAUCUGAAACACAACCAAAACUAAUUUGCAGUCACAAGCUUGAUGUAAUCAUUGCAUGAAACAAAAUGCUAAACCUUUUAAUACUUUAAUACACAUAUAAGUGAAUUUGUCCCAAUACUUUUAGUUCCCUAAAAUGGGGGGGACUGUACAAAAAUGCUGUAAUUUCUAAACGGUUCAACUGAUAUGGAUGAUAAUACCCUCAAAAUAAAGGUGACAAUCUGCACUAACCAGAUAGUCAUUGUAUCAUUUGAAAUCCAAAGUGCUGGAGCACAGAGCCAAAACAAUAAAAUUGUCACUGUCCCAAUACUUUUGAGCUCACCGUAUAGGCUCAGUCCAAAUACUUUGAAAAUAAAAUCUUACAUGUCUGAAUUGAUGAAAACUAGUAUUAAACGUAUUUAAAGGGCCAUUAUGUACUAUUUUGUAGAGUGCAGCGCUUGCAAUGCCAGGGUUGUGUGUUUGGUUCCCUCAGGAAUCAGCCAGACAAAAACAUACGCUCUACUGUAUGUUGCUUUUGAUAAAAGCAUCUACUAAAUUAUAAUAUAAACUAAGCACUAAUACCAUCUCCAUGUCAUACCAUGGCAUUCAAACAUAUAACAAGGAGGAUGUUCCUUGUUAUGGAUGUAGAGGUAUGUUCAAUAGAACAAAUUCUAAAAGAAACUCAAACACCUUUCAACGUCAUACGAGACGUCAGGGAGACGUCAGAGAGUGAUACAACUGUUUAAAGAAACAUGCCAUCUUAUGAUAUGUCAUCUAUUGACAAACCAGACCAGUGUUUACUCAACCAUGAUCUCUUAGGGUGUGGCUAGUCACAGAACAGUGGAGUUAUUGGUGGACAGCAACACCCAAGACAAAAAUAAAUCAUCAGAAACAUGAAAUCACAGUUCAAAAGAAUGUUAAGUGUAAGAGUAAGUUGUACAAUUCACAUCUGAUAAAUAUAAGUUGUUAUGAUUGGGUCAAUGCAAAUUGUUAGUUGGGAUGUGUGCCAAAAAAAUACUGGUCAAAACACUGACACCCGAAACUACUUGCCAACAUGCUCUGACUGGGGAUUUUGCUCUCGGCAAGAUGACAAUAGAUUUUCUCUAAACUGAAUACACUUCUACCAGUACAGGUGUUAGUUCAGUUUACUGCAAGUAUCCGUCGUAUAAGCAGGAUGACGUUUUAUAAAAAUAACCCACUUCACAGAGGUGUAACAGCAUGCAUCUGCGCAAUUUUGAUAGUACAAUAGUAUAAAUAAAGGUUGUAAAUGCACCUGACUGGUUUUAGGGAAAAUCAUGUAUAUCC
rnacentral:lncRNA from 1 species